ACAGACACACAGUCAGACACAAACACACACAGUCAGACACACACAGUCAGACACAUACACAGUCAGACACAUACACACAGUCAGACACAAACACACACAUACACACAGUCAAACACACACAGACACACACAGUCAGACACAAACACACACACACACAGUCAGACACACACACACAGUCAGACACACACACACAGUCAUACACACACAAUCACUCACA